AUUGAACGCUGGCGGCAUGCCUUACACAUGCAAGUCGAACGGCAGCACGGGAGCAAUCCUGGUGGCGAGUGGCGAACGGGUGAGUAAUAUAUCGGAACGUGCCCGGUCGUGGGGGAUAACGUAGCGAAAGCUACGCUAAUACCGCAUACGAUCUACGGAUGAAAGCGGGGGAUCGCAAGACCUCGCGCGAUUGGAGCGGCCGAUAUCAGAUUAGGUAGUUGGUGAGGUAAAGGCUCACCAAGCCGACGAUCUGUAGCUGGUCUGAGAGGACGACCAGCCACACUGGGACUGAGACACGGCCCAGACUCCUACGGGAGGCAGCAGUGGGGAAUUUUGGACAAUGGGCGCAAGCCUGAUCCAGCAAUGCCGCGUGCAGGAUGAAGGCCUU
rnacentral:rRNA from 1 species